AACAAACGCUGGCGGCGUGCCUAAUACAUGCAAGUCGAACGGGGAAAGCUUUCGGGUGAGUACUAGUGGCGCACGGGUGAGGAACGCGUGGAUAAUCUGCCUUAGAGUGGGGGAUAACUAGUCGAAAGAUUAGCUAAUACCGCAUAAGACCACAGGAGCUGCGGCUCAAGGGGUCAAAGGUUUUUCGCUCUAAGAUGAGUCAGCGUAAGAUUAGCUAGUUGGUGAGGUAACGGCUCACCAAGGCGACGAUCUUUAACUGGUCUGAGAGGAUGAUCAGUCACACUGGAACUGAGACACGGUCCAGACUCCCACGGGAGGCAGCAGUAGGGAAUAUUGCACAAUGGAGGAAACUCUGAUGCAGCGACGCCGCGUGAGUGAUGAAGGCCUUCGGGUCGUAAAGCUCUGUCGCAGGGGAAUAACACAAUGAAUGUACCCUGUAAGAAAGGAUCGGCUAACUUCGUGCCAGCCGCCGCUGUAACAC
rnacentral:rRNA from 1 species